GACGAACCGUGCAAACGUUAUUCGGAAUCACUGGGCUUAAAGGGCGCGUAGGCGGGCCGCCAGGUCCGGGGUGAAAGCCUCCAGCUCAACUGGAGAAGUGCCUUGGAUACCGGCGGCCUCGAGGGAGGUAGGGGCGUGCGGAACUUCGGGUGGAGCGGUGAAAUGCGUAGAUAUCAGGAGGAACACCGGUGGCGAAGGCGGGUCUCUGGGCAAUAACUGACGCUGAGGAGCGAAAGCGUGGGGAGCGAACAGG
rnacentral:rRNA from 1 species